rnacentral:sRNA from 1 species
AAGUAAAAUUAAUUAUUUUGGAAAAAAAGAUUUAAUGCUAAUGGCAUUAGAUUGUAAAUAAGUGUAAGUCCAUGAUUUAUUUGCUAAAAUGGCUGCAAAAAUGUAUAUAUAGAUUUA